GGUUUUAGUGUAAAAAUUACAAAUACAAAUAAUAUAAAGGUAGAAAUAUAAGUAUAGAAAUAUAUCAUAAACACAUUAAAGAUUUAUAUAAAAAUUAGAAAUAUAAGGAAAAAUAAGUUGUAGCAGUAGAUAUGGUAAAUAAUAAAAAAAAAAUUCCCGUAUAUUUUUGAAUAAGGUGCAUAUUAAAUAUAGUUAUUAAUAUAAUGCAUCAAUAUAAACUAUAAAUAUAUGUAAAAUAUAACUAUCUAUAAGAAGGAAUAAAAGCUCUGUGUCACGUGCAGCAGUAGAAAAUUUCAGGCUCCCAGGGAAUAAAUAGUUUUCUUUAAAUCAUUUUCGUUUUGCAGAUUUUUUUUUUUUACUCUCGGGUAGCCUGAAAGUUUCUACUGCUGCUUUUUUAUUCUAAAGGUGGAAAGGUAAACCAAGAUUAGAAAUACAAGAAAGGGGAAAGGAAAGGGAAGGGAAAGGGAAAAGGAAAAGGAAAAGGGAAGGGAAGUGGUGAAAAACAGAGUGAAAAAAGUAAAAAGAGUUGGAGGGAAAAAGAGAGGGCAUCCGGGAAGAGCGGUGCUGCCUCAGGUCCUUCCCCGCCGUGGGGCGAAGGAGCCGUUUGAUGCCCGGGAGGGAGUGCAGGUCCCGGUGGCUCCCGGGGGACGGAGCGGUGGCUGUCAGCCCGAGACUCCAACUCCCGGCAGGCCGUGCUGCCGGCGCGGCGUGUGACGCAACGGCUAUCGCGGCACAUGAGUGGCUGUCAGCCCGAGACUCCAACUCCCGGCAGGCCCUGCUGCUGGCGCGGCGUGUGACGCAACGGGCGACGCGGCCCGGCAUUUUUCUCUAAAUCGGCAGUAAAUACAGCUGAGUAAAAUUAGCUUGGUUUUCUUCCUUCUUUUGUAACGGAACUGUUUUUAUUAAAAAUCCUAUUUGAAUAUGUGGAAAAAGUGGGGAUGUCCUGUAAUAUAUCGUCGCUUUUCUUGUUUACAGGGUGCUCAGAAAACAUGCGUCCCUUAGAGUCCCACGGAAAGGUUCUCAGUGCGAUCUCUAUCAAGUGCUAUGAGUCUUGAUAAAUUGGAGAAGAGCCCAAGAGAAAUUUUUCAUCCCUUGAUAUAAAAGGAUUUAUUGGUUCUGGAAGAACAAGAGGGAAGUACAAGCCUAACUACUUCUAGCUCACAGGCCCGUCCAGUGAACCCAGGGAUCGGUGAAUUUUAACUUUGGAGUCCACUAUGCUAAGGAUGCUCAGCUUACAGGUGAUGAAAUGUUCAGUAAUGUAUUUGCUGCAGCUCUGCUUACCCAAGCUUUGGGUUCCUUCUGUCCCACUGGGAGUUGCCCAGUUUGGUUGCAUCUGGUGAAAUUCACCCUGAGACCUUACAGAACUAGCUCCAACUACAUGAGAGCCAUUUGCAGUUCUCUCCAGACACCUGGAGAAUGGGUGACGUUUCUGAGGAUCCGGCGAGCGUGCUUCUAUCAAAACUCAGUCUGUGAAAUUUCUGGGGAAAACCCUUCUGUGUCCUGAAGGGUUCAAACUCUGGUGAGGAUCCCGUUAUCAGGUGCUCACCUGGAUGGUUCCAGCUGCCAAAGGUAACACUUGUACUCUUGCCCUGUAGUUUACAUCUAUUGUAUUUUUGUUAUUUUGCAAGAUUUUUUGUCUUUGCAAAAUACUGUGCAUUUCACUCUUUGGAACCUCUCAGAUGGUUCUUUGGUGCAGCACCACCCCAUGGGACACUUGGCUGCUGUCCUGAAGGGGUUGGUGGCUGGAAUUGUGAAUCCUGGAGAGUUUAUGAGUCUUCUGUCCCCAGGGAGGUAUCAUGCUUUGUUUACUCUUGUUCUGUUGGUUAGGCGCUGCUUCUCGUUGCAAGUACGAAUUUCAAACUGCCCUGUUCUUUUUUUAACUGUUUUCCUGGUUCUCUCCGCCCGGCAGGGAAAGACUCUCGUAUCCUUGUCGUCGGGCUCGGUGCUGUCCAAGAAGAUACGGGGACUAAAAAAAUCAUAAGAAGCAAAAUAUGACUGCAGGGAAAAGAAGCUGGAGAGAACAGAAGACUCAUCACGGCGGGACAGCGUGAGGACUGAAAGUGUAAGAAGAUGUGGAGGGAAAGAGAGAAUCUGACAGGAGCAGCGAACGCACGAGUGCACGAAUUUUGCUUUUUGCUUGGAUGUAAACUCAGGAGUUGAGAGGAAUUUGGGAGUGAGAAGGGACAUUUCAGAAGGAGAAGAAGAAAAAGAAGUUGUUGCUACAGUCCUGGCAAAAUCUUUUGUUCUAGCUAAUAAAAGAAGUUAGUUUAAAAAACAAAAAGGAAAAAAUGUAGUGUUUUUUUUUUUCCUUCACUAUGAUAUUCAUUGGUGGUAUAUGGUGUGUUGUUUUAUUUCUUGGUAUUAUUAACUCUGUGUAAAUUGUUUUUUGAGUGAAGCUGACUUUCUGGAUGGGUUGGUUUGUAUUUGAGGCAGGAUUAAUUUCAGUAGGGUUCUUUCAUAGAUUUCUGAUGGGUAUUACUGGGAUUUUGGUUUUGUUUACUGUAUGUAUAAACCUAGAGCUUUGGUAGGGCCAGCUGGGCUGCUGGAGUUUUGGGUGUGAAUUUAUUAGAUGGCUUUUGUUAGAUGCAGUUUUUAAUUUUUGAAAUGUUUUUCAAUGUAGUGGUUUUAAGGUGGUUUUUAAGAAUUCAUUGUAUUGCUUUAUCUUGUUUGUAGUUGGUGUAUGAUAAGGGAUGUGGUGUGAGUUCUUGAACAUUAUGGUUUUGGUGUUCCUAAGUUCUGAUUUCUUUGUGGUUCAAUAUUUUUUUUUAUUUUUAUUUUUUGGGACAGGGGCAUUUAUAUGGUGGGUUUUUAUAGGCAAUAUGUUUUUUAAUUUAGGUAGUGAUAUUUUUUAAUAUUUUAAUAGUUUAGGUUUUUUAUUUUCAUGGUUUUAAUUAUUUUUUUUAAUUUUUUGAAAUAACUUUUAUAGAUUACAUGUUAUUAUUUGUGCAUUAACAUAAAGGUAGAGCUUUGGGGACUUUUUUUAGUAAUGUUUAGGGUCAGUUGUGCAGUUUUGAGUCUAGUGCGUUGGUUUGAUUUAAUUUUUAAUGGGUGUUUGUUUUUAUUAGCAGUUGUGUCAUUUUCAAGGUGUGUUUGAGUUUUUUGGGGUUUUUGAGAUACUGGUUUAGGAGGAAGUUUAUGAUGAGAAUGUGCGGAGGUUUUGGGCUACUUUAUAGUGAGAUUUAAAAUUUAUUUACAGUUAGGUUUAUUUGAGUUUUUAUUAGGGUUCAGUGACGUUGUGGGAUGUUUGUUCUGUUAGUAAUAGAAAUAGGUUUUGUUUUGCUGUGCUGCGAUGGGAUGGGCGUGUGCUGCGUGCCGGUGCUGACAAAGGUACAGUAUUGUUGUGGCUCUGGUGCGUCGGGUUAAUGAACUGACAUGGUUUAAUAUAGAGAUGAAAAUAGAAAUAAAUAUACAUUUAAAAAUAAAUAUAACAUUAGAGUGGUAAACAUAAAUAUAGAUAACAGAUACAUACAUAAAACUAUAAUAUAUGGUAUAUAAUUGUAACAUGUUAUCAUAUAGAUAAAUGAUAGUCUAUUUU